rnacentral:snoRNA from 1 species
AACACUUGUGUUUGAUUUCGUUAAGCUUGUGAGCAAAGACUUACAGACAGGUACAAAAAUAAACCCUCUUUUGCAACCCAGAACUCAUUGUUUAGUAUGAGUUUUGAUACAGGUAAGAAGGAACAUG